rnacentral:tRNA from 1 species
CGCCGUGGUGGCGCGCGGCAUGGGGCGCGCCUGCGUCUCCGGCGCGGGAACGCUUUCGAUCAAGGCGAAGGAAGGCGU